UGCAUGCAUGAGUUUCUCUCGGAAAUGCACGUCAACCAGAAGAAAGGACAGAGACAUAGCCCCUCUGACGCGUCUGCAGCUCCUAACGAGCUUCACUGGCUAUGAUCUGUCAGAAUACUUCAGAGUUGCUCUUUUGCUUUUCCUGAAUAUGUUGCUUGAUGAAUCCUCCCGGACACACUGCGCUUGUACAUGAUUGAACAGCCAGGCUAUGAAAGAGCUUGACGAUAGUGAUGGUGGAGACGGUGAGCUUGAGAGAAAAUAAUAAUGGAGGAAGACUUUGUUGAAAAAAUGAAGAUGGACAGAGAGAUGAGGAUCACCUUCCCACCGCAUCAUCUAUCUUCGAAAGGAUCGUCAUUCAUUGUUUAGCCGCUGCCUCGACGGUCGAACUUGACCACCGGAGUUUACAGGUCGUUGAACGUGCUGCGUUCUCCGAGCAGAAGGUGUUCGGUGAAUUGCGCAAAAGAGGAACAGAGGGCGAGACGAUUUUGAAACAACAAACAGAGGAAGAUACGCCUAGAGAAAUCUCCACAGUUCCUCGCGACAUUCAGGAGAUAACGGAAUUCGUCGAUCAACAGUCACACUUACCAGCUCGUUUUCAUCUCCGAUUGAACUCUAGAAUUCAUUUCGAUAGAUUCCAACUUUGUCUUUUGAUUUAUGUUUCGCUUUUUUUUUUCUCCCGUCCUCUCGCCGUCUUCCAGAAAUUCCAUUGCUGUCGGUUGCACUGUGGAGGAGGUAUCGAGUUCGCAAGGAAGGAGUUCGAUGGAAUGACGAAGCUGGUCUCAAAGACUACCUGCUCAAGAGACACAGAGAAUCGGCGAGCUUUAUCCGGUGGUGAGAGCAAGUUCUAGUUCAAGAGCGCGAGAUGUUGUCAAUUAUAAGACGAAAAGCAACUGCUGGAGGCUCGGAUGCUGUGUCAUCGAGAGAGAGGUUGUGGAAGAGUUUUUGCCGCAGGGACAUGGUUAUAGAGUUAUGCUACCGCAGCGAAAGAGACGACUGUGAGAGAGGAUCUUAAUACAGCGCUUGAUGAGGAAAUGCCUGCAGAUCCAGAAGUCAGUCUUUCUAAUGGGUGGGGAGGAGGUCGGAUGAUACCAAGGAGCCUUACAAGGUGUCUUAAAGGUUCUUUUUUUUCCGGACAAGUAUGGACCUGAGAGGGUUGUUGAUUCUCCAAUCACAGAGGCUGGUUUCGCUGGAGUUGAAGUCGGCGCUGCUUUCUGUGGUCUCAGGCCUGUCGUGGAGUUCAUGACAUUCAAUUUCGCUAUGCAGGCGUCCCCCAUCCCACCUGGAGGAAGCUUUACGGAUCCGGCCUCGUUAAAUCGCUCAUCACCCUCAGGAUCUAUCGGACACGAGAAUCGUCCACCGCGUACGAAAUGAGAGUUGCUCAUGAACUGUGUAACAUCUCGGGUGCUAUCACUACGGUAUCAACAUAAGCACAGAAAAGUGAGGUAUACAUUAGACAUACGCUAGACAUAAUAACGUAGGUGCAGGAUAGGACCAUUGUUAUUACUCUGAUUAACUCAGCUUGUAAUGUUUGGUAUUAGCCUCAGAAAGCUUCAUGUCUCCUUCAUCCUUUUCCUGCCUUCUUUUGUCCGAAAGGGUAAGCAAUCCUUCAAAAAAUCUGCACAUGAUCGUCUUGUUUCAAAGUAGUAAUUGCUUUUGCUAUUCAAUGACACUCUUUGCCCUCAUAAACUUUGAUCGGCGACCUAUUGUUACGUAGCUUAACCGCUGUUCUCUACAUUGUUAUUCCAUUUGGGAAUGAGGGUAAUUAGUCAAUAAUUCGGUCUUGUCAA